AGCAGCCGCGGUAAUUCCAGCUCCAAUAGCGUAUAUUAAAGUUGUUGCAGUUAAAAAGCUCGUAGUUGAACUUCAGGCCUGUCCAGAUGGUCCGCCUUAAUUGGUGUGUACUGUCCUUGGGUGGGUCCUACCUUCUGGCGAAGCGGCAUGGCCUUAGUUGGUUGUGUUGGGGAACCAGGACUUUUACUGUGAAAAAAUUAGAGUGUUCAAAGCAGGCAUAAUAUGCUCGAAUACAUUAGCAUGGAAUAAUGGAAUAGGACGAUGGUUCUAUUUUGUUGGUUCUAGGACCGUUGUAAUGAUUAAUAGGGAUAGUUGGGGGCAUUAGUAUUCAAUUGUCAGAGGUGAAAUUCUUGGAUUUAUUGAAGACUAACUACUGCGAAAGCAUUUGCCAAGGAUGUUUUCAUUAAUCAAGAACGAAAGUUAGGGGAUCGAAGACGAUCAGAUACCGUC
rnacentral:rRNA from 1 species